rnacentral:rRNA from 1 species
GGGGAAAGAUUUAUCGCCAAAGGAUUAGCCCGCGUUGGAUUAGGUAGUUGGUGGGGUAAUGGCCUACCAAGCCGACGAUCCAUAGCUGGUUUGAGAGGAUGAUCAGCCACACUGGGACUGAGACACGGCCCAGACUCCUACGGGAGGCAGCAGUGGGGAAUCUUAGACAAUGGGGGCAACCCUGAUCUAGCCAUGCCGCGUGAGUGAUGAAGGCCCUAGGGUUGUAAAGCUCUUUCAGAGGGAAGAUAAUGACGGUACCAUCAGAAGAAGCCCCGGCUAACUCCGUGCCAGCCGCCGCGGUAAUU